UGACCUUGGACCAUACCCUACCCGCCCUGAGCCUCAGCCUUCCAGUCUGCAAAAUGGGGCUGGGCUGCCUCAUCGCCUGACCCUUUGGUCCUCCUUAGAGACAGGAGAAGGUUGGAGCCAUUGAUGUCUAGGCAGAGGGACGUGUACCCACUGCUGGACCAAGUGGAAACCCUCCUCAGAAAAGAAUCUUCAUCCAUUAACCAGUGAGGAAAAGGCAAGCAAUAGAAUAAUG